UAAACAUUGAUAGAUUAUUACAUCCACUAUCCGCCAGGGUACUACGAGCAUCAGCUUAAAACCCAAAGGACUUGGCGGUGCUUAAGAUCCACCUAGAGGAGCCUGUUCUAGAACCGAUAAUCCCCGUUCAACCUCACCCUUUCUUGUUCUUCCAGCCUAUAUACCGCCGUCGUCAGCUUACCUUGUGAAAGACCAACAGUAAGCAAAAAUGGCACAGCCCAAAACGUCAGGUCGAGGUGUAGCAUAUGAAAGGGGAAGAAAUGGGCUACAUUUUCUAAAAUAGAAAAUCACGGAUAACACAUUGAAACAUGUAUUUGAAGGAGGAUUUAGCAGUAAGUUGAAAAUAGAGUGUUCAACUGAAACUGGCCCUAAAGCGCGCACAUACCGCCCGUCACUCUCUCCGAAUAAAAACUUAAAAAUAACUAAAAACUCAUAAUUACAAAGGAGAGGCAAGUCGUAACAUGGUAAGUGUACCGGAAGGUGUACUUGGAAAAAAUCAAAGUGUAGCUAAAACAGAAAAGCAUCUCCCUUACACUGAGAAGUCAUCCGUGCAAUUCGGAUCACCUUGACACUUAAUAGCUAGCCCCCCCCAACUAAACUCAACAUAUCACUAUUUAUAAACCCUUAAACCCUAUAAACUAAAAAUAAAUCAUUUUUCCCCCUAAGUAUGGGUGACAGAAAAGGAACUCAGGGCGCAAUAGAAAAAGUACCGCAAGGGAACGCUGAAAAAGAAAUGAAAAAACUAAAUAAAGUAAAAAAAAGCAGAGACUAGCUCUCGUACCUUUUGCAUCAUGAUUUAGCCAGAAACUUAUAAGCAAAGAGCACUUUAGUUUAAUUUCCCGAAACUAAGUGAGCUACUCCAAGACAGCCUAAAAACAGGGCAAACCCGUCUCUGUGGCAAAAGAGUGGGGAGAGCUUUGAGUAGCGGUGACAGACCUAUCGAACUUAGUUAUAGCUGGGUGCCUAAGAAAUGAAUAGAAGUUCAGCUUUUUGGGUUCUCCUUUCCACUCAACUUCAAGCUUUCAACCGAUUACUGAGAAAACCAAAAAAGUUAUUUAAUGGAGGUACAGCUCUUUUAAAUAAAGAUACAACUUUUUAAGAUGGAUAAAGAUCAUAAUAAACAAGGCUAAGUGUUUUAGUGGGCUUAAAAGCAGCCAUCUAGAAGAAAGCGUUAAAGCUCAAACACACAAGAAAUCCUUAAAUCCCGAUAAUUAAUCUUAUUCCACUGAAUUUAUUAGGCCAUCCCAUGCUCACAUGGGAGAGAUAAUGCUAAUAUGAGUAAUAAGGGGAAAGACCCCCUCCCUAGCACAUGUGUACAUCGGAACGAACCCAUCACCGAAAUUUAACGGCCCCAAACAAAGAGGGUAGUGGACAACAAAUAAAUAACAAGAAAAUCACCCAAAAACAACCGUUAAACCCACACUGGUGUGCAUUAAAGGAAAGACUAAAAGAAAAAGAAGGAACUCGGCAAACACAAGCCUCGCCUGUUUACCAAAAACAUCGCCUCUUGCAAAAACUAAGAAUAAGAGGUCCCGCCUGCCCUGUGACAAAUGUUCAACGGCCGCGGUAUUUUGACCGUGCAAAGGUAGCGCAAUCACUUGUCUUUUAAAUGGAGACCUGUAUGAAUGGCAUCACGAGGGCUUAACUGUCUCCUUUUUCCGGUCAGUGAAAUUGAUCUCCCCGUGCAGAAGCGGGGAUAAAAACAUAAGACGAGAAGACCCUAUGGAGCUUUAGACACCAAAGCAGAUCUUGUUAAAAAUACCAAAAUAAAGGAAUAAACCAAAAUGAACCCUGCCCUAAUGUCUUUGGUUGGGGCGACCGUGGGGAAACACAAAACCCCCAUGAGGACUGAGCACACUGUUCUCACAACCAAGAACUACAGUUCUAAGCAACAGAAUUUCUGACCACCAGAUCCGGCCAUGCCGAUCAACGGACCGAGUUACCCUAGGGAUAACAGCGCAAUCCUCUUUUAGAGUCCAUAUCGACAAGAGGGUUUACGACCUCGAUGUUGGAUCAGGACAUCCUAAUGGUGCAGCCGCUAUUAAGGGUUCGUUUGUUCAACGAUUAAAGUCCU
rnacentral:misc_RNA from 1 species